rnacentral:piRNA from 1 species
UGCCUGAGGCUCUGCCCACAGUGUCGGA